CCUACGGGUGGCAGCAGUGGGGGAUAUUGCACAAUGGGCGAAAGCCUGAUGCAGCGACGCCGCGUGAGGGAAGACGGUCUUCGGAUUGUAAACCUCUGUCUGCGGGGAAGAAAAUGACGGUACCCAAAGAGGAAGCCCCGGCUAACUACGUGCCAGCAGCCGCGGUAAUACGUAGGGAGCAAGCGUUGUCCGGAAUUACUGGUUGUAACGGGAGCGUAGGCGGGAUGGCAAGUAGAAUGGUAAAUCCAGCGGCUCAACCGGUAGCUGCGUCCUAAACUGCCGUUCUUGAGUGACGUAGAGGCAGGCGGAAGUCCUGGUGUAGCGGUGAAAUGCGUAGAUAUUAGGAGGAACACCAGUGGCGAAGGCGGCCUGCUGGGCUUUAACUGACGCUGAGGCUCGAAAGCGUGGGGAGCAAACAGGAUUAGAUACCCGUGUAGUC
rnacentral:rRNA from 1 species